UACGGAGGGUGCGAGCGUUAAUCGGAAUUACUGGGCGUAAAGCGCACGUAGGCGGUUUGUUAAGCAAGAUGUGAAAGCCCAGGGCUCAACCUUGGAAUUGCAUUUUGAACUGGCAAGCUAGAGUUUUGAAGAGGGUGGUAGAAUUUCCAGUGUAGCGGUGAAACGCGUAGAUAUUGGAAGGAACACCAGUGGCGAAGGCGGCCACGUGGCCAAAACCGGACGCUGAGGAGCGAAAGCGUGGGGAGCAAACAGG
rnacentral:misc_RNA from 1 species